UACGAAGGGGGCUAGCGUUGCUCGGAAUCACUGGGCGUAAAGCGCACGUAGGCGGAUUGUUAAGUCAGGGGUGAAAUCCUGGAGCUCAACUCCGGAACUGCCUUUGAUACUGGGGAUCUUGAGUCCGGAAGAGGUGAGUGGAACUCCGAGUGUAGAGGUGAAAUUCGUAGAUAUUCGGAAGAACACCAGUGGCGAAGGCGGCUCACUGGUCCGGUACUGACGCUGAGGUGCGAAAGCGUGGGGAGCAAACAGG
rnacentral:rRNA from 1 species